UCUUGGCUAAGGUGUCUUGGCUAUUGUGUCUUGGCUAAUGUGUCUUGGCUAAGGUGUCUUGUCUAAGGUGUCUUGGCUAAUGUGUCUUGGCUAAUGUGUCUUGGCUAAUGUGUCUUGGCUAAGGUGUCUUGGCUAAGGUGUCUUUGCUAAUGUGUCUUGGCUAAGGUGUCUUGGCUAAGGUGUCUUGGCUAAGGUGUCUUGGCUAAUGUGUCUUGGCUAACGUGUCUUGGCUAAUGUGUCUUGGCUAAUGUGUCUUGGCUAAUGUGUCUUGGCUAAGGUGUCUUGGCUAAUGUGUCUUGGCUAAUGUGUCUUGGCUAUGGUGUCUCGGCUAAGGUGUCUUGGCUAAUGUGUCUUGGCUAAGGUGUCUUGGCUAAGGUGUCUUGGCUAAGGUGUCUUGGCUAAGGUGUCUUGGCUAAUGUGUCUUGGCUAAUGUGUCUUGGCAAAGGUGUCUUGGCUAAUGUGUCUUGGCUAAUGUGUCUUGGCUAAUGUGUCUUGGCUAAGGUGUCUUGGCUAAUGUGUAUUGGCUAAUGUGUCUUGGCUAAGGUGUCUUGGCUAAGGUGUCUUGGCUAAUGUGCCUUGGCUAAUGUGUCUUGGCUAAGGUGUCUUGGCUAAGGUGUCUUGGCUAAUGUGUCUUGGCUAAGGUGUCUUGGCUAAUGUGUCUUGGCUAAGGUGUCUUGGUUAAGGUGUCUUGGCUAAGGUGUCUUGGCUAAUGUGUCUUGGCUAAUGUGUCUUGGCUAAGGUGUCUUGGCUAAGGUGUCU